AUUGACACGUGAAACGUUUCACGGUUACAUCGUUGAGAGAUAAAGCGCAUGAUUUAGCUUUAAGCUUAAUUAAAACUUUGGAAUAUAUGAAAGUUUAAGUUAAUCCAGUUUUAAUGAACCAUUUUCCAAAUUAUACACGUGUUCAUUAGCGCAGGUUUUGACAUGCUUCAUCAGAGUGGGUGAGGGUCCGCUAGCUGUUCCCAGAGCGCCUCCGACAGCCGUAUAGCGUAAGAGCAGCUGCUUCGCCAGUGAGCUUACCAUCGGAUCGGAAUCGUGACCCGCUGAAAAAAACUCAACAGGCUGAAAUUAACUAAGUAUCACGUUUUGACGAGUACAGCUACUUAGGGUUUGGUUGCUGCUAACUUUAGACCUAGCAGUAUCCAACAGGACGGAGAGUGGAUUAGGUGGAUCUAUCAGAGCGUUUCAGGACCCAUUUCAAAUCUUGUUUUGUUUUGUGUGUAUGUGAUUAUGUUCUGUUUGUAUGAUCCUAGGACCCCUUUUUUACUGACGUAAGUAAGUAAACGACCUCAUGGCUACAAUUUGUUAGGCGAUUACCGGAACCAUUAAUAACCAUAACUAGAAUGUCGCCGUCGUUACCAUUUUCGAAGGUUGUGGUAUCAAAUGCAUUAGAAUAACUUUUACCUGCUUUUUAAUAGAUCGCUUAGUAGCGUUAGCGCUUAGUAUAGGUAGGUAAUUAUUAACAGGUAAUUAUUAACAUUUUUUUUUUCAAAAUGUGAUAUUUUUCAUUACUGUGGUUUAAUAUGAAUAAAAUAGUAUUAUUAAAA